GUGGAACUUAUUGACUGUAAGAGCAUAAUUUAUUCUGGACCUAAGACUUGACACCUUCCAGAGUAGGGGUGGAGACACCCCAGCAACCAGAUAAGGAGUCAUGAAGAGGCGACUGGGAGCUCUGCUGGGGAUUCUGUGGGUCCAGGUUUGCUGGGUGAGAGGGGUGAAGGUGGAGCAGAGUCCUUCGGCCCUGAGCCUCCAGGAGGGAACCAACUCUACUCUGAGGUGCAAUUAUUCUACCACCACAAACAAUGUGCAGUGGUUCCGACAGACUCCUGGAGGAGGCCUCAUCAGUCUGUUUUUCAUAGCUUCAGGCACGAAACAGAAUGGAAGGUUAAAGUCCACUAUUAAUUCUAAGGAACUCUAUAGUACCCUGCACAUUGCAACCUCUCAACUGGAAGACUCAGCCACCUACCUCUGUGCAGUGGAGACACAGUGUUCCCAGGUAACCCACAGCCUGCACCCAAACUGCAGCUGCAGUCCCACGCCUUACUUCCGGCAGGCACAUUGUGCCCACAGCAGCAUUUGCACCACUUUGAAGUUUAUCAGUUCAUGUUGCAGUACUUUUAUCCCUGCUAAAAUUACACCCUUCAGAGUUUUCAUUUCACUUUAACUUUUGUACUCUUUUCUUCCCACAAAUCCCUUGGCAGAAAGAAAGCUCUAAUACGGAACCAAUAAAUGUGUCAGGAUCAAAUGCACUAUUAAAAUAGAUGCCCUGGCAGAGAGCGUAUCAAUUUCAUAAAAAUUACUGUGAUAAAAAAAAAAGACCAGAUUUACUGGCCUGAAGGAGACUGGAGAAACCUCAAGAGUAUG